UGGGGAAUUUUGGACAAUGGGGGCAACCCUGAUCCAGCCAUUCCGCGUGAGUGAAGAAGGCCUUCGGGUUGUAAAGCUCUUUCAGCAGGAACGAAACGGCGAGUACUAAUACUGCUCGCUAAUGACGGUACCUGAAGAAGAAGCACCGGCUAACUACGUGCCAGCAGCCGCGGUAAUACGUAGGGUGCGAGCGUUAAUCGGAAUUACUGGGCGUAAAGCGUGCGCAGGCGGUUGUGUAAGACAGGUGUGAAAUCCCCGGGCUUAACCUGGGAACUGCGCUUGUGACUGCACAGCUAGAGUAUGGCAGAGGGGGGUGGAAUUCCACGUGUAGCAGUGAAAUGCGUAGAGAUGUGGAGGAACACCGAUGGCGAAGGCAGCCCCCUGGGCCAAUACUGACGCUCAUGCACGAAAGCGUGGGGAGCAAACA
rnacentral:rRNA from 2 species